rnacentral:rRNA from 1 species
AACGGCUCACCAUGGCGACGAUUGGUAGCCGGACUGAGAGGUUGAACGGCCACAUUGGGACUGAGACACGGCCCAGACUCCUACGGGAGGCAGCAGUGGGGAAUAUUGCACAAUGGAGGAAACUCUGAUGCAGCGACGCCGCGUGAAGGAAGAAGGUCUUCGGAUUGUAAACUUCUGUCGUACGGGACGAUAAUGACGGUACCGUACAAGAAAGCCACGGCUAACUAC